UGGGGAAUAUUGGACAAUGGGCGAAAGCCUGAUCCAGCCAUGCCGCGUGAGUGAUGAAGGCCUUAGGGUUGUAAAACUCUUUCGCCGGGGAAGAUAAUGACGGUACCCGGAGAAGAAGCUCCGGCUAACUUCGUGCCAGCAGCCGCGGUAAUACGAAGGGAGCUAGCGUUGUUCGGAAUUACUGGGCGUAAAGCGCACGUAGGCGGGCUAUUAAGUCAGGGGUGAAAUCCCGAGGCUCAACCUCGGAACUGCCUUUGAUACUGAUAGUCUUGAGAUCGGGAGAGGUGAGUGGAAUUCCUAGUGUAGAGGUGAAAUUCGUAGAUAUUAGGAAGAACACCAGUGGCGAAGGCGGCUCACUGGCCCGAUACUGACGCUGAGGUGCGAAAGCGUGGGGAGCAAACAGGAUUAGAUACCCACGUAGUCCCUGAGCGGGCUGGCAAGGCGCAU
rnacentral:rRNA from 1 species